rnacentral:rRNA from 1 species
CUUUGUUGUCCGACUCUGUUGCCUCCGGGGCGACCCUGCCUUCGGGCGGGGGCUCCGGGUGGACACUUCAAACUCUUGCGUAACUUUGCAGUCUGAGUAAACUUAAUUAAUAAAUUAAAACUUUUAACAACGGAUCUCUUGGUUCUGGCAUCGAUGAAGAACGCAGCGAAAUGCGAUAAGUAAUGUGAAUUGCAGAAUUCAGUGAAUCAUCGAAUCUUUGAACGCACAUUGCGCCCCCUGGUAUUCCGGGGGGCAUGCCUGUUCGAGCGUCAUUUCACCACUCAAGCCUCGCUUGGUACUGGGCAACGCGGUCCGCCGCGUGCCUCAAAUCGACCGGCUGGGUCUUCUGUCCCCUAAGCGUUGUGGAAACUAUUCGCUAAAGGGUGUUCGGGAGGCUACGCCGUAAAACAACCCCAUUUCUAAGGUUGACCUCGGAUCAGGUAGGGAUACCCGCUGAACUUAAGCAUAUCAAU